UACGUAGGCAGCGAGCGUUGUUCGGAGUUACUGGGCGUAAAGCGUGCGUAGGCGGUGUCUUAAGUUUGUUGUGAAAUCUCCCGGCUUAACCGGGAGGGUGCGGCGAAUACUGAGAUGCUGGAGUGCCGGAGAGGUAAGCGGAAUUCCUGGAUGUAGCGGUGAAAUGCGUAGAUAUCAGGAAGAACACCAAUGGCGAAGGCAGCUCUCGUGGGAACGGUACUGACACUGAGACGCGAAAGCGAUGGGGAGACCGAACAGG
rnacentral:rRNA from 1 species